UAUAAAGUGGCUGAGGUUUAAGCGGUGGACUGUAAAUCCAUUUACGAAUAUUAUUUUCCUUUAUAA
rnacentral:tRNA from 1 species